GACGAACGCUGGCUUCGUGCUUACACAUGCAAGUCGAACGGAAAGGCCCUGCUUUUGUGGGGUGCUCGAGUGGCGAACGGGUGAGUAACACGUGAGUAACCUGCCCUUGACUUUGGGAUAACUUCAGGAAACUGGGGCUAAUACCGGAUAGGAGCUCCUGCUGCAUGGUGGGGGUUGGAAAGUUUCGGCGGUUGGGGAUGGACUCGCGGCUUAUCAGCUUGUUGGGGGGGUAGUGGCUUACCAAGGCUUUGACGGGUAGCCGGCCUGAGAGGGCGACCGGCCACAUUGGGACUGAAAUACGGCCCAGACUCCUACGGGAGGCAGCAGUGGGGAAUAUUGCACAAUGGGCGGAAGCCUGAUGCAGCAACGCCGCGUGCGGGAUGACGGCCUUCGGGUUGUAAACCGCUUUCGCCUGUGACGAAUCGUGAGUGACGGUAAUGGGUAAAGAAGCACCGGCUAACUACGUGCCAGCAGCCGCGGUGAUACGUAGGGUGCGAGCGUUGUCCGGAUUUAUUGGGCGUAAAGGGCUCGUAGGUGGUUGAUCGCGUCGGAAGUGUAAUCUUGGGGCUUAACCCUGAGCGUGCUUUCGAUACGGGUUGACUUGAGGAAGGUAGGGGAGAAUGGAAUUCCUGGUGGAGCGGUGGAAUGCGCAGAUAUCAGGAGGAACACCAGUGGCGAAGGCGGUUCUCUGGGCCUUUCCUGACGCUGAGGAGCGAAAGCGUGGGGAGCGAACAGGCUUAGAUACCCUGGUAGUCCACGCUGUAAACGGUGGGUACUAGGUGUGGGGUCCAUUCCACGGGUUCCGUGCCGUAGCUAACGCUUUAAGUACCCCGCCUGGGGAGUACGGCCGCAGGGCUAAAACUCAAAGGAAUUGACGGGGCCCCGCACAAGCGGCGGAGCAUGCGGAUUAAUUCGAUGCAACGCGUAGAACCUUACCUGGGUUUGACAUGGAUCGGGAGUGCUCAGAGAUGGGUGUGCCUCUUUUGGGGUCGGUUCACAGGUGGUGCAUGCCUGUCGUCAGCUCGUGUCGUGAGAUGUUGGGUUAAGUCCCGCAACGAGCGCAACCCUUGUUCACUGUUGCCAGCACGUUAUGGUGGGGACUCAGUGGAGACCGCCGGGGUCAACUCGGAGGAAGGUGGGGAUGACGUCAAGUCAUCAUGCCCCUUAUGUCCAGGGCUUCACGCAUGCUACAAUGGCUGGUACAGAGAGUGGCGAGCCUGUGAGGGUGAGCGAAUCUCGGAAAGCCGGUCUCAGUUCGGAUUGGGGUCUGCAACUCGACCUCAUGAAGUCGGAGUCGCUAGUAAUCGCAGAUCAGCAACGCUGCGGUGAAUACGUUCCCGGGGCU
rnacentral:rRNA from 1 species